GACGAACGCUGGCGGCGUGCUUAACACAUGCAAGUCGAACGGAAAGGCCCUGCUUGCAGGGUACUCGAGUGGCGAACGGGUGAGUAACACGUGGGUGAUCUGCCCUGCACUUCGGGAUAAGCCUGGGAAACUGGGUCUAAUACCGGAUAGGAGCCAUUUUUAGUGUGAUGGUUGGAAAGUUUUUUUCGGUGUAGGAUGAGCUCGCGGCCUAUCAGCUUGUUGGUGGGGUAAUGGCCUACCAAGGCGGCGACGGGUAGCCGGCCUGAGAGGGUGGACGGCCACAUUGGGACUGAGAUACGGCCCAGACCCCUACGGGAGGCAGCAGUGGGGAAUAUUGCACAAUGGGCGCAAGCCUGAUGCAGCGACGCCGCGUGGGGGAUGACGGCCUUCGGGUUGUAAACUCCUUUCGCUAGGGACGAAGCUUUUUGUGACGGUACCUAGAUAAGAAGCACCGGCUAACUACGUG
rnacentral:rRNA from 1 species